CUAAUACAUGCAAGUCGAACGAAACUUUCUUACACCGAAUGCUUGCAUUCACCGUAAGAAGUUGAGUGGCGGACGGGUGAGUAACACGUGGGUAACCUGCCUAAAAGAAGGGGAUAACACUUGGAAACAGGUGCUAAUACCGUAUAUCUCUAAGGAUCGCAUGAUUCUUAGAUGAAAGAUGGUUCUGCUAUCGCUUUUAGAUGGACCCGCGGCGUAUUAACUAGUUGGUGGGGUAACGGCCUACCAAGGUGAUGAUACGUAGCCGAACUGAGAGGUUGAUCGGCCACAUUGGGACUGAGACACGGCCCAAACUCCUACGGGAGGCAGCAGUAGGGAAUCUUCCACAAUGGACGCAAGUCUGAUGGAGCAACGCCGCGUGAGUGAAGAAGGUCUUCGGAUCGUAAAACUCUGUUGUUAGAGAAGAACACGAGUGAGAGUAACUGUUCAUUCGAUGACGGCAUCUAACCAGCAAGUCACGGCUAACUACGUGCCAGCAGCCGCGGUAAUACGUAGGUGGCAAGCGUUGUCCGGAUUUAUUGGGCGUAAAGGGAACGCAGGCGGUCUUUUAAGUCUGAUGUGAAAGCCUUCGGCUUAACCGGAGUAGUGCAUUGGAAACUGGAAGACUUGAGUGCAGAAGAGGAGAGUGGAACUCCAUGUGUAGCGGUGAAAUGCGUAGAUAUAUGGAAGAACACCAGUGGCGAAAGCGGCUCUCUGGUCUGUAACUGACGCUGAGGUUCGAAAGCGUGGGUAGCAAACAGG
rnacentral:rRNA from 1 species